rnacentral:misc_RNA from 1 species
GCAAACUUGGUCAUUUAGAGGAAGUAAAAGUCGUAACAAGGUUUCCGUAGGUGAACCUGCGGAAGGAUCAUUACUGAUUGACACCGUGCACCUUCUUGUAGUCGACCAUUCAGCAGCCUGCCAUCAGAAUUUCAUGAUAAUCAACUCGGCUCAUCGUCAAGUUGGUUAGUUGUCUGUGGCAGGCGGCCUUUGGUCUCCUAUGCCUCACCACACACACACAAACCUGUCAUCGUAUGUCGAACUUAAUCAUGCAAUAUAACUUUCAACAACGGAUCUCUUGGCUCUCGCAUCGAUGAAGAACGCAGC